rnacentral:misc_RNA from 1 species
GCCCCCAAAUUUUAGGUCCCGUCUCUGUAAUGAUUAUCCAGAAAAAUUUAGGACUGUUGAUACCUCAUAUGGCCGUGCACUGGAGCUUGUCUCCUGGGACCCAGGGUUGGCAAAGCCUUUACCUUGCCUUCAAGUUCCUUCACGUGAGCUAAUAGUGGAUAGGCCAUUAAAAUUCAACUUGUUGAGACUAAGAAAGGGGCUGAA